rnacentral:tRNA from 8 species
GACCUUUUAGCUCAGUUGGUAGAGCAACUCCCUUUUAAGGAGUGGGCCCAUGGUUCGAAUCCAUGAAGGGUCACCA